ACGGGAGGCAGCAGUGGGGGAUAUUGCACAAUGGAGGAAACUCUGAUGCAGCAACGCCGCGUGAGGGAAGAAGGUUUUCGGAUUGUAAACCUCUGUUUUUAGUGACGAAACAAAUGACGGUAGCUAAAGAGGAAGCCACGGCUAACUACGUGCCAGCAGCCGCGGUAAUACGUAGGUGGCAAGCGUUGUCCGGAAUUACUGGGUGUAAAGGGUGCGCAGGCGGGACUGUAAGUUGGAUGUGAAAUACCGAGGCUUAACCUCGGAGCUGCAUCCAAAACUGCGGUUCUUGAGUGAAGUAGAGGUAGGCGGAAUUCCGAGUGUAGCGGUGAAAUGCGUAGAUAUUCGGAGGAACACCAGUGGCGAAGGCGGCCUACUGGGCUUUAACUGACGCUGAGGCACGAAAGCAUGGGGAGCAAACAGGAUUAGAUACCCUGGUA
rnacentral:rRNA from 2 species